GUGAACGCUGGCGGUAGGCCUAACACAUGCAAGUCGAACGGCAGCACAGUAAGAGCUUGCUCUUGCGGGUGGCGAGUGGCGGACGGGUGAGGAAUACAUCGGAAUCUACUUUUUCGUGGGGGAUAACGUAGGGAAACUUACGCUAAUACCGCAUACGACCUACGGGUGAAAGCAGGGGAUCUUCGGACCUUGCGCGAUUGAAUGAGCCGAUGUCGGAUUAGCUAGUUGGCGGGGUAAAGGCCCACCAAGGCGACGAUCCGUAGCUGGUCUGAGAGGAUGAUCAGCCACACUGGAACUGAGACACGGUCCAGACUCCUACGGGAGGCAGCAGUGGGGAAUAUUGGACAAUGGGCGCAAGCCUGAUCCAGCCAUACCGCGUGGGUGAAGAAGGCCUUCGGGUUGUAAAGCCCUUUUGUUGGGAAAGAAAAGCAGCAGGUUAAUACCCCGCUGUUCUGACGGUACCCAAAGAAUAAGCACCGGCUAACUUCGUG
rnacentral:rRNA from 1 species